rnacentral:rRNA from 1 species
UAUCAAUAAGCGGAGGAAAAGAAACUAACAAGGAUUCCCCUAGUAACGGCGAGUGAACCGGGAAAAGCUCAAAUUUGAAAUCUGGCUGUCUUCGAUAGUCCGAGUUGUAAUCUAUAGAAGCGUUUUCCGUGCUGAACUGUGUCUAAGUCCCUUGGAACAGGGUAUCAAAGAGGGUGAUAAUCCCGUACUUGACACAACCAUCAGUGCUCUGUGAUACGUUCUCUACGAGUCGAGUUGUUUGGGAAUGCAGCUCAAAAUGGGUGGUAAAUUCCAUCUAAAGCUAAAUAUUGGCGAGAGACCGAUAGCGAACAAGUACCGUGAGGGAAAGAUGAAAAGCACUUUGGAAAGAGAGUUAAACAGUACGUGAAAUUGUUGAAAGGGAAACGAUUGAAGUCAGUCGUGUUCAUUGGAUUCAGCUAGUUCUUCUAGUCUACUUCCUUUGAACGGGUCAACAUCAGUUUUGUCCGGUGGAUAAAGGAUUUAGGAAUGUGACUCCCUCGGGAGUGUUAUAGCCUAGGUUCACAUACACUGGGUGAGACUGAGGACUGCAGCUCGCCUUUUGGCCGGGGUUCGCCCACGUUCGAGCUUAGGAUGUUGACAUAAUGGCUUUAAACGACCCGUCUUG